UUUCGGCUGGCACAGGCAGAAAUGGCCUGAUCCUGACCUACCGUCUGCCAGGGCAGAGAGGGCACUGUGGGGGACCAGAACUGCUGGGGAGAACUACAAUUCCCAGCAGGCAGUGCGAGCCGGGGACCCUUCCAGCUUCCCACCAAUAUAGCGGUGCAGAAGAAAGGGACAUCAGGGAGAAAAUCCCUUCCUCUUUUUUCUUGCGCUCCCGCUAACACCUUGGCAGUGGCGUGAAAAUCCUUCCCGCUGGCAUGAGCUGCUGAGAGCAUCUCCCCUGCCCCUUCAACCUUUGCUCUUUGUCUUUGUUUCGCUUCACCCUUCCUCCGGUAGCUCUCACUGCACUGGUCACAGACUUCCUUCAGGUCAGACCAGCUGCGGCUGCAGCACGACUCGCAGCUGAGUCGCAAACGCUGUUGUGCCACUGAGACUGCCCCGGAGGAGAGCAAUGCCAGACAGAGGUUGAUGGCCUGCUCAGUUUUUACAUCACUGACAGAGACUUCCUGUGAGUCAGCACCAGCAGAUGUGAAUGAAGUAGCUGAAGGUGAAGAAGAGCUCAAAGUGGGUAGAAAUAAGAAAAUCUGGCCAGUAACACUUGGAUACUUCCAGACCUACGUACUGCUGAGGGAGAUGGGAGACAGCCUGAAUCCUGCCUGAGAGACCUAGCUUGUUCCCCUGGAUGGAAGUGACCGGUGAGGUCAGAGAUAUGGUUAGUCCGGGAGCAGGCAGCUUGGCUAAACAUAGGGAGCAGGAACACCAGCACAACACGGGAAGGGGCAGCCAUCCUUUAAAAUCUGCCUAAAAUUGAUGCUUCUGGUACGUCUGUGCAACAAGUGCUUUCAGGAGUGAGGGAGGCAUGGGCAGGAAUGAGUUAAU